rnacentral:rRNA from 1 species
GCUACAAUGGGACGUACAAAGAGCAGCAACACAGCGAUGUGAAGCCAAUCUCAAAAAACGUCUCUCAGUUCAGAUUGGAGUCUGCAACUCGACUCCAUGAAGCUGGAAUCGCUAGUAAUCGUAUAUCAGCAAUGAUACGGUGAAUACGUUCCCGGACCUUGCACACACCGCCCGUCAAGCCAUGGAAGCUGGGUGUACCUAAAGUCGGUAACCGUAAGGAGCCGCCUAGGGUAAAACUAGUGACUGGGGCUAAGUCGUAACAAGGUACGG